GAUGAACGCUGGCGGCGUGCCUAAUACAUGCAAGUCGAGCGGACAGAUGAGAAGCUUGCUUCUCUGAUGUUAGCGGCGGACGGGUGAGUAACACGUGGGUAACCUACCUAUAAGACUGGGAUAACUCCGGGAAACCGGGGCUAAUACCGGAUAAUAUUUUGAACCGCAUGGUUCAAUAGUGAAAGACGGUUUCGGCUGUCACUUAUAGAUGGACCCGCGCCGUAUUAGCUAGUUGGUAAGGUAAUGGCUUACCAAGGCGACGAUACGUAGCCGACCUGAGAGGGUGAUCGGCCACACUGGAACUGGGACACGGUCCAGACUCCUACGGGAGGCAGCAGUAGGGAAUCUUCCGCAAUGGGCGAAAGCCUGACGGAGCAACGCCGCGUGAGUGAUGAAGGUCUUCGGAUCGUAAAACUCUGUUGUUAGGGAAGAACAAAUUUGUUAGUAACUGAACAAGUCUUGACGGUACCUAACCAGAAAGCCACGGCUAACUACGCGCCAGCCGCCGCAGUAA
rnacentral:rRNA from 1 species